rnacentral:rRNA from 1 species
GAGUUUGAUCCUGGCUCAGAUUGAACGCUGGCGGCAGGCCUAACACAUGCAAGUCGAGCGGUAGCACAGAGAGCUUGCUCUCGGGUGACGAGCGGCGGACGGGUGAGUAAUGUCUGGGAAACUGCCUGAUGGAGGGGGAUAACUACUGGAAACGGUAGCUAAUACCGCAUAACGUCGCAAGACCAAAGUGGGGGACCUUCGGGCCUCAUGCCAUCAGAUGUGCCCAGAUGGGAUUAGCURGUAGGUGGGGUAACGGCUCACCUAGGCGACGAUCCCUAGCUGGUCUGAGAGGAUGACCAGCCACACUGGAACUGAGACACGGUCCAGACUCCUACGGGAGGCAGCAGUGGGGAAUAUUGCACAAUGGGCGCAAGCCUGAUGCAGCCAUGCCGCGUGUGUGAAGAAGGCCUUCGGGUUGUAAAGCACUUUCAGCGGGGAGGAAGGCGGURAGGUUAAUAACCUYAUCGAUUGACGUUACCCGCAGAAGAAGCACCGGCUAACUCCGUGCCAGCAGCCGCGGUAAUACGGAGGGUGCAAGCGUUAAUCGGAAUUACUGGGCGUAAAGCGCACGCAGGCGGUCUGUCAAGUCGGAUGUGAAAUCCCCGGGCUCAACCUGGGAACUGCAUUCGAAACUGGCAGGCUAGAGUCUUGUAGAGGGGGGUAGAAUUCCAGGUGUAGCGGUGAAAUGCGUAGAGAUCUGGAGGAAUACCGGUGGCGAAGGCGGCCCCCUGGACAAAGACUGACGCUCAGGUGCGAAAGCGUGGGGAGCAAACAGGAUUAGAUACCCUGGUAGUCCACGCUGUAAACGAUGUCGAUUUGGAGGUUGUGCCCUUGAGGCGUGGCUUCCGGAGCUAACGCGUUAAAUCGACCGCCUGGGGAGUACGGCCGCAAGGUUAAAACUCAAAUGAAUUGACGGGGGCCCGCACAAGCGGUGGAGCAUGUGGUUUAAUUCGAUGCAACGCGAAGAACCUUACCUGGUCUUGACAUCCACAGAACUUUCCAGAGAUGGAUUGGUGCCUUCGGGAACUGUGAGACAGGUGCUGCAUGGCUGUCGUCAGCUCGUGUUGUGAAAUGUUGGGUUAAGUCCCGCAACGAGCGCAACCCUUAUCCUUUGUUGCCAGCGGUYMGGCCGGGAACUCAAAGGAGACUGCCAGUGAUAAACUGGAGGAAGGUGGGGAUGACGUCAAGUCAUCAUGGCCCUUACGACCAGGGCUACACACGUGCUACAAUGGCAUAUACAAAGAGAAGCGACCUCGCGAGAGCAAGCGGACCUCAUAAAGUAUGUCGUAGUCCGGAUUGGAGUCUGCAACUCGACUCCAUGAAGUCGGAAUCGCUAGUAAUCGUAGAUCAGAAUGCUACGGUGAAUACGUUCCCGGGCCUUGUACACACCGCCCGUCACACCAUGGGAGUGGGUUGCAAAAGAAGUAGGUAGCUUAACCUUCGGGAGGGCGCUUACCACUUUGUGAUUCAUGACUGGGGUGAAGUCGUAACAAGGUAGCC